rnacentral:rRNA from 1 species
ACGGAAGGCAGCAGUGGGGAAUAUUGGGCAAUGGGCGCAAGCCUGACCCAGCAACGCCGCGUGAAGGAUGAAGGUCUUCGGAUUGUAAACUUCUUUGAUUGGGGAAGAAUAAAUGACCUACCCAAAGAACAAGUCACGGCUAACUACGUGCCAGCAGCCGCGGUAAUACGUAGGUGACAAGCGUUAUCCGGAUUUACUGGGUGUAAAGGGCGUGUAGGCGGUUCUGUAAGUCAGAAGUGAAAUUCCCGGGCUCAACCUGGGCGCUGCUCCUGAAACUACAGAACUUGAGUACUGGAGGGGAAAGCGGAAUUCCUAGUGUAGCGGUAAAAUGCACAGAUAUUAGGAAGAACACCAGAGGCGAAGGCGGCUUACUGGACUGUAACUGACACUGAGGCUCGAAAGCGUGGGGAGCAAACAGGAUUAGAUACCCUGGUA